rnacentral:other from 1 species
AAACGGAGCAGUCUCGUUUAACCCUUGAAGCCACUGCCCGUUCAGAGAGUCUCUCUACCCAAAUAACGAAAGCCAACGUGAACUUUUGCGGACCCCGUGGUCCGC